GACGGAGGGGGCUAGCGGUGUUCGGAAUGACUGGGUGUAAAGGGCGCGUAGGCGGUAUUUUAAGUGAGGCGUGAAAGACCUGGGCUUAACCCAGGAGGUGCGUUUCAUACUGGAAUCCUUGAGUGCGAGAGAGGAAAGUGGAAUUCCUAGUGUAGAGGUGAAAUUCGUAGAUAUUAGGAAGAACACCAGAGGCGAAGGCGGCUUUCUGGCUCGCAACUGUCGCUGAGGCGUGAAAGCGUGGGGAGCAAACAGG
rnacentral:rRNA from 1 species